rnacentral:misc_RNA from 1 species
GAUGAAGAACGCAGCGAAAUGCGAUAAGUAAUGUGAAUUGCAGAAUUCAGUGAAUCAUCGAAUCUUUGAACGCACCUUGCGCCCUUUGGCUAUUCCGAAGGGCAUGCCUGUUUGAGUAUCAUGAACACCUCAACUCUCAUGGUUUGCCAUGAUGAGCUUGGACUUUGGGGGUCUUGCCGGCCUAUGGGUCGGCUCCUCUCAAAUUAAUCAGCUUGCCAGUGUUUGGUGGCAUCACAGGUGUGAUACCUAUCUACGCUUGUGGUUUUCCAUCAGGUAACCUUCAGUGAUGGAGGUUCGCUGGGGCUCAUAAAUGUCUCUCCUCAGUGAGGACAGCUUUUUUGAAAGUUUGAUCUCAAAUCAGGUAGGACUACCCGCUGAACUUAAGCAUAUCAAUAAGCGGAGGA